rnacentral:rRNA from 1 species
GACGAACGCUGGCGGCGUGCCUAAUACAUGCAAGUUGAGCGCUGAAGGUUGGUACUUGUACCAACUGGAUGAGCAGCGAACGGGUGAGUAACGCGUGGGGAAUCUGCCUUUGAGCGGGGGACAACAUUUGGAAACGAAUGCUAAUACCGCAUAAAAACUUUAAACACAAGUUUUAAGUUUGAAAGAUGCAAUUGCAUCACUCAAAGAUGAUCCCGCGUUGUAUUAGCUAGUUGGUGAGGUAAAGGAUCACCAAGGCGAUGAUACAUAGCCGACCUGAGAGGGUGGUCAGCCACAUUGGGACUGAGACACGGCCCAAAAGCCUACGGGAGGCAGCAGUAGGGAAACUUCGGCAAUGGACGAAAGUCUGACCGAGCAACGCCGCGUGAGUGAAGAAGGUUUUCGGAUCGUAAAACUCGGUUGGUAGGGAAGAACGUUGGUGAGAGUGGAAAGCUCAUCAAGUGACGGUAACUACCCAGAAAGGGACGGCUAACUACGUG